CUUAGCAAUGUCAGCCAAACUCCGAAUGCCAUUAAUGUGUUGUGCGGCAGUGAGACUGUGGGGGAUAAGCUUCAUAGUCGAGAGGGAAACAGCCCAGAUCGCCGGUUAAGGCCCCUAAGGGUGUGCUAAGUGGAAAAGGAUGUGGGAUCGCGAAGACAGCCAGGAGGUUGGCUUAGAAGCAGCCAUCCUUGAAAGAGUGCGUAAUAGCUCACUGGUCGAGUGGUUCUGCGCCGACAAUGUAGUGGGGCUCAAGCACACCGCCGAAGCCGCGGCAAUAAUAUUUUGUUAUUGGGUAGGGGAGCGUCGUGCACGUGUUGAAGCGUUACCGUGAGGAGGCGUGGAGUGUGUGCGAGUGAGAAUGCAGGCAUGAGUAACGAAUUGGAAGGUGAGAAUCCUUCCCGCCGGAUGACUAAGGGUUCCUGGGUCAAGUUCGUCUUCCCAGGGUGAGUCGGGACCUAAGGCGAGGCCGACAGGCGUAGUCGAUGGAUAAC
rnacentral:rRNA from 1 species